rnacentral:snRNA from 1 species
AGGAUCAGGUGUAUCCACCAUAG